GACGAACGCUGGCGGCGUGCUUAACACAUGCAAGUCGAACGCUGAAGCUCAGCUUUUGUUGGGUGGAUGAGUGGCGAACGGGUGAGUAACACGUGAGUAACCUGCCUCCUUCUUUGGGAUAACGCCCGGAAACGGGUGCUAAUACUGGAUAUUCACUGGUCUUCGCAUGGGGGUUGGUGGAAAGGGUUUUUCUGGUGGGGGAUGGGCUCGCGGCCUAUCAGCUUGUUGGUGGGGUGAUGGCCUACCAAGGCUUUGACGGGUAGCCGGCCUGAGAGGGUGACCGGUCACAUUGGGACUGAGAUACGGCCCAGACUCCUACGGGAGGCAGCAGUGGGGAAUAUUGCACAAUGGGCGCAAGCCUGAUGCAGCGACGCCGCGUGGGGGAUGGAGGCCUUCGGGUUGUGAACCUCUUUCGCUCAUGGUCAAGCCGCAACAAUGGUUGUGGUGAGGGUAGUGGGUAAAGAAGCGCCGGCUAACUACGUG
rnacentral:rRNA from 1 species